rnacentral:rRNA from 1 species
GAUGAACGCUGGCGGCGUGCCUAAUACAUGCAAGUCGAGCGAACGGACGAGAAGCUUGCUUCUUUGAUGUUAGCGGCGGACGGGUGAGUAACACGUGGAUACCCUACCUAUAAGACUGGGAUAACUUCGGGAAACCGUAGCUAAUACCGUAUAAUAUUUUGAACCGCAUGGUUCAAUAGUGAAAGACGGUCUUUCUGUCACUUAUAGAUGGAUCUGCGCUGCAUUAGCUAGUUGGUAGGUUAACGGCUUACCAAGGCAACGAUGCAUAGCCGAACUGAGAGGGGGAUCGGCGACCCGGGAACUGAGACAGGGUCCAGAGUCCUACGGGAGGCAGCAGUAGGGAAUGGGCCGCAAUGGGCGAAAGCAUGACAGAACAACGCCGCGUGAGUGAUGGAGGUCUUCGGAUCGGAAAGAUCGGUUAUUAGGGAAAAACAUAUGUGUAAGGAACUGUGCACAUCUUGACGGUACCUGAUCAGAAAGCAACGGCUAACUACGUG